GAUGAACGCUAGCGGCAGGCCUAACACAUGCAAGUCGAGGGGUAGAGGAAGCUUGCUUCCUUGAGACCGGCGCACGGGUGCGUAACGCGUAUGCAAUCUACCUUUUACAGAGGGAUAGCCCAGAGAACUUUGGAUUAAUACCUCAUAGUAUCUUUGCCUGGCAUCGGGUGAUUAUUAAAGUUCCAACGGUAAAAGAUGAGCAUGCGUCCUAUUAGCUAGAUGGUAAGGUAACGGCUUACCAUGGCAACGAUAGGUAGGGGUCCUGAGAGGGAGAUCCCCCACACUGGUACUGAGACACGGACCAGACUCCUACGGGAGGCAGCAGUGAGGAAUAUUGGACAAUGGGCGCAAGCCUGAACCAGCCAUGCCGCGUGCAGGAUGACGGUCCUAUGGAUUGUAAACUGCUUUUAUACGGGAAGAAACACUCCUACGUGUAGGAACUUGACGGUACCGUAAGAAUAAGGAUCGGCUAACUCCGUGCCAGCCGCCGCGGUAACAC
rnacentral:rRNA from 1 species